AACAAUGUCUUCAGGAGUAGUUGUGUUAGCAAAACGAGAUAGAUGAAGCCAUUUUAUUUUUGGUAUAGCACUUAAAUUUGUUGACGUAUCGGUGCCAAUAAUUUUCACUUCUCUUUUCUUUUUUUGGGGGUUUCUUUUUUUACUCUCAACAACAACAAACUCUGAUUUUUUAGAAUUAUUUUUUUUGAAGGUCCGGGAAUAUUAUCAUUAAAUGAUGGGUCAUUGAUUGAAAUGAGUUCCAUUUUUGAAUUUUCAGUUAAAUUGUUAUUUACACCAAUGUUAAUGUUUGCUAGGUAAUUAAUAAUUACAUAGAGGUAGGUAUUCAUAUGCACAAAUGGAGGUUAGUUGAUACACAUGUAUGUAGGUACAUAUAUACAUAUUCAUAUGUAUAUCUUAAGUUGGGGGCGUAGGUACCUAUUAGAUUUUUCAACUAUUUUAGAAGGUUAAAGUAUUUUUGGCAGAUUUCUUUGCUUUAAAAAAAAUUCGAAGACAACAAAAAUAUAUGUACCUAUGCAUGUAAUCAAAGUGGAGUAAAAAAGGAUUCUUAAAGCCAUUUUGCUACCAUUUACCAAUUUUUGUUACCAUUUACCAGUGCACUGUGCAUACUCAAAUAUUGUACACACAAUUUCUUCUCGCAUUGUUAAAUUUUAUAUACAUUUUGUGGUAUACAUGGCUUUAAGAAUUAUUUUUCUAUUUUGUUUUUGCUUUUUGCCUAUUUGUUUGUCAUAUGGUUUUGCUUAAGGUUGCCAAUUGCAUGAAAGUAGUUUUGAGUUUUAGCAGCUUUUGUAGUCGCAUGGCAGUGGUUUAUUUAUCGACGUGUUGUUUUAAUUAAAUAAAAUUAACAAAGCUACCUAUGCAAGUUGUGAAAGUUAAACUACUUUCGGCAAAAUAUUUAUCUACAUACCUACCUAUAAUUUUCAAGGCAGUAUCGUUGUUUUUUCUCAAAACAUUAGAACCGAAACAGGUUUUUCACAAAAUGUAAGCAUGUUUUAUUAAUAACAAAAAGACAGGUGACAAUUAGGUACAUUUAUUUUUAUUCUGUGUUGAAAUCUUAGGUAAAUCAAAGUAUUUACCUAAAGCAAACAUUUAGUUAGUUUUUUAAUUAAGAGUAGGAAAUAUGAAUAAAUUUAAAUGUGCCUUAGUAUAUCGAAUUUUUUUUUAAUUUUUUUUGAGCACUUAAGCUAUGAUUACACGGUUAACGAAAUCGGUCAACGCGUUGACUCUCUGACGUUACAAAAAAUGUAUAUUUUCUCCGUAAUCUCACCGUCAACGUUUACAGUAUCAAUGCUUAAAACAUUGACUAUCACACGAUGUUGUCCCAAAUUACGUUGACGCACAGGUGUGUCAACCUGACUUUUACUCAUCAGUGCCAAUGCAUUGACUCGCAAAACUUUGAUGAUCACACGGAUUGACACAAAGCAAAAAAAACGUCAGCACAAGUCAAAGUUAUUUUGGUAAAAUAAAAUAAAAAUUAUAAAAAGCAAUAGCAAUGACAAAAAGAAAUAUGGAGAUAGCGGUUUUGGCCGCAUACAUUUUAGAAAGCAGCACGGACGAUGAGCACGAGGAAGACAUCCGCAGUGCGAGGCCUUCACGAAAACAGCGUUCGGUUCGGACAAAACAAUUGAUUGAAGGUCCGGGAGAAAGAGGGAUUUGGUGUAAAAUUAUUACGCGAAUUGCGCGCUGAGGAACCAACUUUAUAUCGAAAUUUUCUCCGCAUGGGCGCAAGACAGUUUGAUUACUUGCUGGCGCUGGUGAAGCCUCACAUACAAAAACAAAAUACAAAAAUGCGGACGAGCAUUUCUGCCGAGGUGCGAUUGGUCCUCACACUGCGAUUCCUUGCCACUGACGAAAAUUUCAGAUCUUUGCAGUACCUUUUUAGAAUUUCCCAACCAGAUAUCUCCUCUAUUAUUUCCCAAGUUCUUGACGCGGUUUUCAAUGUUCUUGUUUCUGACUUUAUAAAGAUUCCGAAGAGUGAAUCUGAAUGGGAGGCAGUAGCUGAAAAAUUCAACGAAGCGUGGCAGUUCCCGAAUUGCGUAGGUGCAGUGGACGGAAAACACGUUCAUAGUCGCACCACCUCAUGCCGGUAACGUGUACUAUAAUUAUAAAGGGACACAUAGCAUAGUUCUAAUGGGAAUAUCUGAUGCCGAGUACAAACUUUUGUACAUUGACGUCGGCCGCAACGGAAAAUUCUCGGACGGUAGUGUAUUCAACAGAUAUACAUUUGGACAAGCACUAGACAGCAACCGUUUGCACUUACCUGCUCCAAAACCUGCCUGGAAGAAAAAGGGCCGUUCCAUAUGUGCUUGUGGCUGAUGAUGCAUUUGCAUUGCGAAUAAAUAUAAUGAAACAGUUUGCCCAACGAAAUUUAACCUUACCAGAACGUGUUUUCAAUUAUCGACUGAGCCGAACUCGUCGUAUAAUUGAAAAUUUGUUUGGCAUUAUGUCUGCACGUUUUCGUAUCCUUCGUAAGCCCAUUCAUUUGGAACCUUCAAAAGUAAAGAAAGUUGUGCUCGCAUGCUCAGUGCUGCACAACUUUCUUAUGACUACUAAUAGAUUAUUAUUAUUUAUUAUUAUUAUUUUACGUGUGAAGGCGAACUACCUUCCAUCAUCUUCCAUCAUAAUCUGAUAAAUUUUUUAUCAAAGAAAGGGACAAUAUUUUAAAUUUAAAAAAAAACUUACCAGCAGCUUUCAAAUUUCAAUAUAUGUAUGCCCUGUUUUUAUUUUUUAUUUUUUGAAUUAAAUGAUGCAAAAAAAACA